GACGAACGCUGGCGGCGUGCCUAAUACAUGCAAGUCGAGCGGACUGAUUCGGAGCUUGCUCCGAGAAUGUCAGCGGCGGACGGGUGAGUAACACGUGGGUAACCUGCCUGGCAGACUGGGAUAACGCUUGGAAACGAGUGCUAAUACCGGAUGAUCUCUUGGACUGCAUGGUUCGAGAGUAAAAGGAGCUUUUGCUUCACUGCCAGAUGGACCCGCGGCGCAUUAGCUAGUUGGUGAGGUAACGGCUCACCAAGGCGACGAUGCGUAGCCGACCUGAGAGGGUGACCGGCCACACUGGGACUGAGACACGGCCCAGACUCCUACGGGAGGCAGCAGUAGGGAAUCUUCCGCAAUGGGCGCAAGCCUGACGGAGCAACGCCGCGUGAGUGAUGAAGGCCUUCGGGUUGUAAAACUCUGUCUUCUGUGAAGAACCAUCCUGUGCAGAGAAAGCUCAGGACCUGACGG
rnacentral:rRNA from 1 species